rnacentral:lncRNA from 1 species
UUUACUUUUAGUUGUUCUUGCUAAUUAUUGUUUAUUUACAAAACAAUGAAAUUUGAACUACAAUUAUAACAUAUGGUGCAUGUUAGUGACAUUAGCAUAUCUUAUCACCUUAAGCACAAUAGUUACUUUAACCCUCAGUAAGUGUUUUAAAGAAUUGCCUGGCCAGACGUGGUGAUGCACACCUUUAAUCCCAGAGACUCAGGAGGCUGGACAGAAAGAUUGCUAGUUUGAUACCAGCCUCAGCAAUACAAUGAGGCUCUAAGGAACUUACCAAGAACUUCUCUCAAAAUAAAACAUUAAAAAGAGCUGGUAAUUUGGCCCCAGUGGUUAAGUGCCUCUGGGUUAAAUCCCUGAUUAAAAAAAAAUCUAGAAAUGUAUCAGUGGAAGAAAAUGGGCAGUGGAAAAAUAAGCUGCCCAACUCUGUUAUUUUUUUUUUAUACCAGUGAUUGAACCCAGAGGAACUUAAACACUGAGUCACAUCUCUAGACUCUUUUAAUAUUUUAUUAAGAGACAGGGACUCACUGAGUUUCUUAGGGCCUCACUAAGUUGCUGAGACUGGCUUUGAACACAUAAUCCUUCUGCUUCAGCCUCCCAAGCCACUAGCAUUACAGGCAUGCAUCACAAAGUACAGCUCUGGCAAAUUUAUUUUUCACAAGGUUCUCAAGUUAAUUCAAGUGAGAAUAGCAUCUUCCACAAAUAAGAUAGGAAUAAAAUUGCAUAUUUAAUGCAAAAGAGUGAUAAUGUAUUUUACAUGGGAUUAUAUAAAUAAUUAACUCAGAAUCAUUCUGGACUUAAAUAUAACAGCUAAAUUUAUUUAAAAAAAUAAAAAUAGUACUGAAUCAAAUGUUCUUGAAUUAGACUGACCAGUGGAGCCUUAGAUAUGCUUCAAAAAUACAUACACACAAAUAAAUAAAUAAAUUUGACUUUAAAAUUUUUCUGUGAAAUUUUAUACUAAACAAUAGAAUGCAUAGAUUUUAAAUUAGUGAUAUGAAUCAAAAUAGCUGCAGAUUAAAUGAUAUUAAUAUAGUUGUUCCUGUAGUACCAUCAUUGAGAUUUCAGAGAAUGAAUAAGUUAUGUGAUCUCCUUGCUUCAGGUUGCCAAUUUGUCAAAUUGCUAUAAUUCUCUUCUCUGAAAGAUACUGUAGAUUGUUCCUACUCUAUUUAAAGAUACUGUAGAUUGUUCCUACUCACAGUUCAUUGUAUAAAAUAUAAACUGCAAUUAUAAUUUUAUAGGAAAAUUUGACACUUAAUAUUCCAUAAGAUUCAACUGCUAUUUUCUCUUAAUCAAUAGCACUAAUGGAAUAGCAUUACAAUUUUAUUUGGAGUCCAAAAUGACUAGAUAUUACUUAGAGAAUAUAAUUGAAUCAUUAGCAGGUCUGUUCUUUUAAGGCUUUUCUAUUUUUCAAAUGUUUUCUUUUUAAUUGAAAUAUAACAAUUGAACAUGCUUAUGGCAUACAGUUUGAUAUGUUGGCAUAAGUAUACACUGUGUAAUGAUUAAAUCAGGGCAAUACACAAUUUUUUUCUGUGCAGAAAGAAAAAGGAAAGUAAAGACAAUUACAUUAGGUGUUUUGGUUUGUGUGGUUUUGAAGAUCUGCUUAUACUCACUUUUUAGCACUCACUGACGUUUUUGAGAAGCCAGUUGAGUUCAAAGCCCAGCCUCCUCUUUUCUCUGGCUCUUACAGUGCACUGCCACUUUAUACCCUUCAGAAUCACCCUAGAGCAAGGAACCCUACCUACAGGGAAACUGUAUACAUCCCAGGACACACAAAAUUAUUGAGACUGAUCAGUCAACAUCAAGCUCUACUGUCUAGCCGACCUCCUACAAACUAUAUUUCCUCUACAGAUCUGAUUUGUUUUACCCUGUCACUGGCUAAAACCCCCUGGCAGAAAUCUUGUAUGUUCAAUAUCAUAACUUACAAGUAGGGGUGACUUUUGUCUGUACAAAUGUCAUUGUUUUGGGUCCUGAGAACAAAUAAUUGUCCAAUAUUUUUUUUAAAAAAAUAAACCUAAGAAAUGAAGGAAAAAAAUGUGAAGAUUGUAGAAAAGUUUCCAGACCCCUUUGAUAACAAUAUAAAAUCUUGCAUUCGCUAUGGAAAAUACCUUGGUGGUUUCUUGAUAAAAUACUAAAAUAAGCAGAACCCUCCCCUAAAAAGUUCCAUAAAUACCUGAAAGCAUGUGCUCAAAUGAGUUCUCAUUAACACAUGAGUAUUUAUAACUGAAUGAGACUCAAUGGUAAAAACAACACAAUAUUAAUGGACAAUAGAAAAUUGGUAUGCCUGCAUUGUAAUAUUAUUCAGCAAUAUUAUUUGGCAGUUCUAGAACUGAACUCAGGGUCUUGUGCCUACUAGGAAAGCACUUUACCUCUGAGAUACAACUUAAGUCACAUCCAGCAAUCAUGGUUAGUGAGACCACUAAAAUAUUAUGAUGGAGACGUAGCUGGGGAACAGUACACUAAGGGAAAUGAAUCAGAGAAAAAAAAGUGCCAUGCAUUUUAUAUGUGAUAUUAUAUACUAUUUUGAGAAUAAGAAAAUCAAUUGAUGAAAAUUGCCAGGAGCCAAGUGGAGCAGAAACAAGGAACUGCUGGUGGGAACUGGUGGAUCUGCAUGUAAAAUAUAAAAAGUGAUAUGUAAAGAAUAAACAAAAUGAUACAAAAUUGUACCCUCUAAAGUUGGUUACAAAAAUAAACUUAGUUUUACAUGCACUUUGCCAGAAUUAAAAAAAAAAAAAUCAUGCAGUUUUUAAAGAAUAAAGCAGUCAAGGCCCCAACCCAUAAAAUAAGGCAAUAAAUCAUAAAUGAUGGCAGCUGGAUGAGCUGAAUUUAAGUACAUUUACAUGAACAUACUGUUGCUAUAUGUGUAUGAGAGUCAGUUAAUUGUUCUAUUCCUCAGUGCUUAUUUUAUUAUAAUACAUAAAAGUAUUAUCUCUAUCAUGACCAAUAUUUGAAACUUGCCAAGUGUUUACUAUAUUUACCUAAUUCAGUAUACUUAAAUAUGCAUUGUUUCUUUGUUUUGCAGAGCUGUGGAUCAAGCACAGGGCCAGGCACAAGUACGGCAAGACUUUCACCACUGAGCCACACUUGGAGUGAAUCUGAUCUCUAGUCCUGAUUAGUUGUCUGUUUAUGAAAGGUCAUCUAAUGCCACUUUUUUUUUUAUUUUUAGUGUGUAUAUUUCUUAUGGUUGAAAUAAAACUUUGUCACAUCCUAGUGGCAUUUUGUGAUGGUGAUCCCUGCUGCUGUGGCUGUUUCCCUGACAGAAUGGGAAUCACACACAGGCUUCAUGUGUUAAUGGAUGUGCUCCUCUGUAUUUCACCUGGAGUCUAACCUUACAGUCCCUGCACACUAGUGUGCUCCAGCGCCCCAGGAGCUCAGUUCUCUGGCCACCUUGGCCUCCUGGCUCCUGCUUUAGCUCUCUUUUGUGUGCUAGUGCAGGUUGUGUGAUUGCAUCUAGCACUCCAGACAGAGGACUUUGUUGGAAUAAUGAGGAUCCAUCUUUUUAUAGAGAAGCAACUGUGUUUUUACACAGAAGCAACUGAUGAAAGGGACAGCCAGAUGCCUAAGAAGUGAGUCACAUGGCACUCACUGCUAGAUGAAACAAACUCUAGAAUGAAGAACCUGAACAAAAUAAGACCCAGCAUGAGUCAUUUACACACCGGCUAUGAGUGUUACAAAAACAUGCCAACAACAAAGAUCAAACUUAUAUCGGCUUAAUAUUUAUUUCCUUCUAUUUCCAAUUCUGCUCUCUUAAAAUCCAAUAUCUGUGCUGGAAAGAUGGUGCAAUCCUGUAAUCCCAGCAGUUUGCAGGGCCUGAUCCAGGAGAACAGCAAGUUUAAAGCUUGUCUCAGCAUUGUAGUGAGGUCCUAAGCAACUCAGCAAGACCUUGUCUCUGUGCCGGAUUCUCCUGAUUCUCUAGGCUCAGGUUAGAUCUCUCAGUUUGCAUCUGCUUAAUUUAUGUGCUGGUUUUUGCCUUUAAUUCAUGAAUCAAAGCACCCAGUCUAAGUUUGUGCCACUUUUACAUUGAGGUAUUUGAGUCUAAGCUUCCUGUGUGUGACUGACUAACCGUGCCUGUCCGAAUACCAGUUUGUUUGGCCAAAUAGCCUCUGGAUCUACCCAAGUCAAUCUGCACCUCCAGUCCUGGGGUUUUCCAUGCCAAAUAUCCCAGAACUUACAGCUAUUUUUAGGUCUUCUGUGUGUGUGUGUGUG